GACGAACGCUGGCGGCGUGCUUAACACAUGCAAGUCGAGCGAUGAAGUUUCUUCGGAAAUGGAUUAGCGGCGAACGGGUGAGGAACACGUGAAGAAUCUGCCCUCCACUUCGGGAUAACACCGGGAAACCGGUGCUAAUACUGAAUAUUGAAACAUAAGUGGCAUCACUGAGUUUUGAAAGUAUUUCGGUGGAGGAUGACUUCGCGGCCUAUCAGCUAGUUGGUGAGGUAAUGGCUCACCAAGGCAACGACGGGUAGCCGGCCUGAGAGGGCGACCGGCCACACUGGGACUGAGACACGGCCCAGACUCCUACGGGAGGCAGCAGUGGGGAAUAUUGGGCAAUGGAGGAAACUCUGACCCAGCGACGCCGCGUGCGGGAUGAAGGCCUUCGGGUUGUAAACCGCUUUCAGUAGGGAAGAAGCGAAAGUGACGGUACCUACAAAAGAAGCACCGGCUAACUAUGUGCCAGCCGCCGCCGUAA
rnacentral:rRNA from 1 species